GUUACCAGUCAAUAUGGGGAUAGUUGAAAUCCCCCAUUAUUAUUGAGUUUUCUGUUGUAAACUCUCUAAUCAACCUGAGCAUUUCACAAUCACUGUUACCAUCCUGAUCAGGUGAUUGGUAAUAUAUUGCUACUGCUAUAUUCUUAUUACUCAGGCACUGAAUUUCUAUCCACACAGAUUCUAGGGUGAAGUUUGAUUCAUUUAAGAUUUUUUUUUUUUUUUUUUUUUUACUAUAUUUGGCUUUAUGCUUUUGUGACACUGGCAAACCAGGUGGCAGCUCAUGCCAAGGUCCCUAUGCCCAAGUGAAACACUG